rnacentral:rRNA from 1 species
UACGUAGGGUGCAAGCGUUAAUCGGAAUUACUGGGCGUAAAGCGUGCGCAGGCGGUUAUGUAAGACAGAUGUGAAAUGCCCGGGCUUAACCUGGGAGCUGCAUUUGUGACUGCAUGGCUAGAGUGUGUCAGAGGGGGGUAGAAUUCCACGUGUAGCAGUGAAAUGCGUAGAGAUGUGGAGGAAUACCGAUGGCGAAGGCAGCCCCCUGGGAUAACACUGACGCUCAUGCACGAAAGCGUGGGGAGCAAACAGG